UCUCUGGUACCUCAGCUGGUAAAGAGCCUGCCUGCAAUGCAGGAGAUCCUGGUUCAAUUCCUGGCUCAGGAG
rnacentral:tRNA from 1 species